rnacentral:misc_RNA from 1 species
UCUCCGUAGGUGAACCUGCGGAGGGAUCAUUACAGAGUUCGUGCCCUCGCGGGUAGAUCUCUCACCCUGUGUUAUUGCUACCUUUGCUGCUUUGGCGGGCCGCCCCCGGCUACCGGCCCCGGCUGGUACGCGCCCGCCAGAGUACCCCAAACCCUGAACGUCAGUGUCGUCUGAGUACUAUACAAUAGUUAAAACUUUCAACAACGGAUCUCUUGGUUCUG